rnacentral:rRNA from 1 species
UAUGGUAAUUCCAGCAGCCGCGGUAAUACGGAGGAUGCGAGCGUUAUCCGGAUUUAUUGGGUUUAAAGGGUGCGUAGGUGGUGAUUUAAGUCAGCGGUGAAAGUUUGUGGCUCACCCAUAAAAUUGCCGUUGAAACUGGGUUACUUGAGUGUGUUUGAGGUAGGCGGAAUGCGUGGUGUAGCGGUGAAAUGCAUAGAUAUCACGCAGAACUCCGAUUGCGAAGGCAGCUUACUAAACCAUAACUGACACUGAAGCACGAAAGCGUGGGGAUCAAACAGG